AGUGGAGCUGUUUAAGAAAAUCCAAUUCGUAUAUUCCAACAGAAUGUUUACAGCAAGCUCAUGCCAACAUCAAAACCAAGUUUCACACAGAAAAAAAAACACCCGAAAUAACAUCUAUAAUCUCCGAGAUCUCCUUAUUCAAACAGUAUAUGCCAACAAAUUUUCACCAAGAAGAAGAAAACAGAUCAGCCAAUCAAGCACAAAUAGACAAGGUCAAGCGCGAGAGUAAGAACUACUCAAGGAGUCACAAUACCUUAGCAAAACUUUGCUAUCAGGUUGAGCUGUGAUGGGCGAUGAAGUGUUGCUGAGUGGAGUUUUUGUCGAACUUAAAGUAGGCUCAGAAAGGAUACAUGUCUUCAUACAUGUAUCACAGUUAUGCUUUCCGCUGUAAACACUGAUUAUUUCAGUUACGCCUUCCGUUGCAAACUCUGAUAAUGUUUUAGCCAAGCCCCUAAUGAUGCCUUUUUCCUUUUAAGGAAUAUAACGCGUAUACAAGUUCUUUGAGUACCCUUUUUAUGCGAACUAUGCCUUUUUCCUUUUUAAGGAAUAUUUCACGCGUAUUCAAGCUCUUUGAGUAUUCUUUUAUGCACCCCUUUCUAAACCCGCUUCUUAAUUUCCCUUCCCCAGUCAUGGUUUUCCCGGAUUAAUUAUCCUUAAUUAAGGCCGGUCGUGACAGAGUGGUAUCAGAGCAGAUCGUUUGCUCUGAGCCUAAGAGUUUAUUUAAGCCAAACUUAGAAUGGAUCACUAAAGUGUCUAGAGUUCAAUCGACAAAGCUCAGCACUUCAUCGCAUCACACUCAACGAAGCAGAAUGGUUGAGCUGUGAUGGGCGAUGAAGUGUUGCUGAGUGGAGUUUUUGUCGAACUUAAAGUAGGCUCAGAAAGGAUACAUGUCUUCAUACAUGUAUCACAGUUAUGCUUUCCGCUGUAAACACUGAUUAUUUCAGUUACGCCUUCCGUUGCAAACUCUGAUAAUGUUUUAGCCAAGCCCCUAAUGAUGCCUUUUUCCUUUUAAGGAAUAUAACGCGUAUACAAGUUCUUUGAGUACCCUUUUUAUGCGAACUAUGCCUUUUUCCUUUUUAAGGAAUAUUUCACGCGUAUUCAA